rnacentral:rRNA from 1 species
GACGGAGGAUGCAAGCGUUAUCCGGAUUUAUUGGGUUUAAAGGGUGCGUAGGUGGCCUGUUAAGUCAGGGGUGAAAGACGGUAGCUCAACUAUCGCAGUGCCCUUGAUACUGAUGGGCUUGAAUGAACUAGAGGUAGGCGGAAUGUGACAAGUAGCGGUGAAAUGCAUAGAUAUGUCACAGAACACCAAUUGCGAAGGCAGCUUACUAUGGUUUUAUUGACACUGAGGCACGAAAGCGUGGGGAUCAAACAGG